GAAAUGGGGGGGAAAGAAGGAGUGAGGGAAGAUUCACAAGAGGGAGGACAGGAGAGAAGGAGGAACAGCUAAAAUAGGUGUCAGGCCCUCUGCCUCAUCCUAGCCAGCAGGCCCUCUCUCUCUCUCUCUCUGUGUGUGUGUGUGUGCUGUGCUUGAUUGCAGAAGUAGAGAUUGGUGUGCAGGGGUUGUGCUGCAGCUGCAAACCGUCAUCAAUCUACUCUACUACAAAUACUGGUCUUCAACUUCACCCCGCUGCCAGAUCGUAGACUCUGUUCCCACACAGCACUCGGCCCAAUUCCUGCCUCCAUUCCACUAGCACACAUCUCUGGAUCUCUGGACUCAGCACUCAGCUCUGGAUCUCUGGAUCUCUAGAUCUCUGGAUCUCUGGAUCUCCUUCCCCACUCUGCCUGCAAACUCACCUGCCUUGCUCUACCCAGUUCUCGCCAUCAUAAAUUAAGUAUUGUAAAUAAAUUAUUUCAAUGAAGCU